AGUGAACGCUGGCGGUAGGCCUAACACAUGUAAGUCGAACGGCAGCACAGAGGAGCUUGCUCCUUGGGUGGCGAGUGGCGGACGGGUGAGGAAUACAUCGGAAUCUACUCUGUCGUGGGGGAUAACGUAGGGAAACUUACGCUAAUACCGCAUACGACCUACGGGUGAAAGCAGGGGAUCUUCGGACCUUGCGCGAUUGAAUGAGCCGAUGUCGGAUUAGCUAGUUGGCGGGGUAAAGGCCCACCAAGGCGACGAUCCGUAGCUGGUCUGAGAGGAUGUUCAGCCACACUGGAACUGAGACACGGUCCAGAGUCCUACGGGAGGCAGCAGUGUGGAAUAUUGGACAAUGGGCGCAAGCCUGAUCCAGCCAUACCGCGUGGGUGAAGAGGGCCUUCGGGUUGUAAAGCCCUUUUGUUGGGAAAGAAAUCCAUCUGGUUAAUACCCGGGUGGGAUGACGGUACCCAAAGAAUAAGCACCGGCUAACUUCGUGCCAGCCGCCGCGGUAA
rnacentral:rRNA from 1 species